rnacentral:rRNA from 1 species
UGCGUAGGCGGUUUGGUAAGUCUUGUGUGAAAUCUCCAGGCUCAACUUGGAGUCUGCACGAGAAACUGCCGGGCUUGAGUGUGGGAGAGGUGAGUGGAAUUCCUGGUGUAGCGGUGAAAUGCGUAGAUAUCAGGAGGAACACCUGUGGCGAAAGCGGCUCACUGGACCACAACUGACGCUGAUGCACGAAAGCUAGGGGAGCAAACAGGAUUAGAUACCCUGGUAGUCCUAGCCCUAAACGAUGACUGCUUGGUGUGACGGGUACCCAAUCCCGCCGUGCCGUAGCUAAUGCGUUAAGCAGUCCGCCUGGGGAGUACGGUCGCAAGGCUGAA